CCCUUUGCUCCCUACCUUUUCAACCACCACCUCCACCAUCUUCGAUUCUUUAAGGCUACUAGCCAACACUCCUUGCCUUCAUUCUAUGUUCCUUCAGCCACCAAAGUGAGGAGAAUUCAUUAAGCUGCUGCCAACAUUCAAGGUAAGACUUAAACUUCAAUUUUUCCACCUCUCCCUGUUUCCUCCUGCAUUCAUUGAGGAAAACCAACAAUCUUUAUAUUUCAGUGUAUCUAUCCACUGAUUCAAUCAACAACAACAGCCAUCAACAACAAACAAUCAAGGUCAAGCGCGAGAGUAAGAACUACACAAGGAGUUAGAGUACCUUAGCAAAACUUUGCUAUCAGGUUGAGCUGUGAUGGGCGAUGAAGUAUUGCUGAGUGGAGUUUUUGUCGAACUUAAAGUAGGCUCAGAAAGGAUACAUGUCUUCAUACAUGUAUCUCAGUUAUGCAUUUCGCUGUAAACACUGAUUAUUUCAGUUACGCCUUCCGUUGCAAACUCUGAUAAUGUUUUAGCCAA